ACUCGACAGCUCGCCUCGUAACGUGUCAGGCCUUCUCCUAUUAUUACCAAACCGUACCCAUCGUUCCUCCCAACCGUAGGUAGCUCUUCUUCCCGUUCGUGGAUCGAAAUCUCCGUGGGAAGUCUCUCACUUCGGUCGAUGUCGACGACGCAGGAAAAGACCAGCGCCGGCGCCACACAGACUCCGCCCGCCGGAGGAGGAGGAGGAGGAGGGGUGAAGGAGACGAAAGUGGUGGAGACGACGGAUUACCGGACGUCGGCCGGGCAAGGACAGCAAGAGCAGAGGCCGGUGCAGGUGGUUCACGAGAACCCCACCGAAGGGAACGAUGCCCGGGGCAAAGCCGGCCAAAGAGAAUUAUAGUUCCCGAGGAGGCCAACACAUCGUGUACAUAUGUCCCGACCCGAUGCAAUAAUAUGAUGCGAUGGCUCUUUGCUUUGCGAUCGACGGAUGAAUUGAAUAUGAGAUCUUGACCUUUCUAUUUGUA